rnacentral:rRNA from 1 species
AUAGCGUAUAUUAAAGUUGUUGCGGUUAAAAAGCUCGUAGUUGAAUCUGUGUGCCACGCUGUCGGUUCGUCGCUCGCGUCGUUUAACUUGCAGUUUGUGGGACGUCCUACCGGUGGACUUUGCUCCUCACGGAGCGGUCCAAAUAAUAUCCCAUCGCGGUGCUCUUAACUGAGUGUCGAGGUGGGCCGGUACGUUUACUUUGAACAAAUUAGAGUGCUCAAAGCAGGCUACCUUCGCCUGAAUACUGUGUGCAUGGAAUAAUGGAAUAGGACCUCGGUUCUAUUUUGUUGGUUUUCGGAACCCCGAGGUAAUGAUUAAUAGGGACAGAUGGGGGCAUUCGUAUUGCGACGUUAGAGGUGAAAUUCUUGGAUCGUCGCAAGACGGACAGAAGCGAAAGCAUUUGCCAAAAAUGUUUUCAUUAAUCAAGAACGAAAGUUAGAGGUUCGAAGGCGAUCAGAUACCGCCCUAGUUCUAACCAUAAACGAUGCCAGCUAGCGAUCCGCCGAAGUUCCUCCGAUGACUCGGCGGGCAGCUUCCGGGAAACCAAAGCUUUUGGGUUCCGGGGGAAGUAUGGUUGCAAAGCUGAAACUUAAAGGAAUUGACGGAAGGGCACCACCAGGAGUGGAGCCUGCGGCUUAAUUUGACUCAACACGGGAAACCUCACCAGGCCCGGACACCGGAAGGAUUGACAGAUUGACAGCUCUUUCUUGAUUCGGUGGGUGGUGGUGCAUGGCCGUUCUUAGUUGGUGGAGCGAUUUGUCUGGUUAAUUCCGAUAACGAACGAGACUCUAGCCUGCUAAAUAGGCGUACUUUCUGGUAUCUCGAAGGCCCCCGGCCUCGCCGGGUGGUUUUUACUACCAACGUACAAACCAAUCUUCUUAGAGGGACAGGCGGCUUCUAGCCGCACGAGAUUGA